UGUUCAGGUGGCCUAAUGCUUAGAGCGUCCGCCUCAGAUGCGGGAAGUCGUAGGUUCGAUCCCCGGUCGAGUAA